CAGGCUUCUUUUUUGUUUUCUUCUCUUCGGUCGGGCUGUUGUCUCUUUGAUACAUUCCUCAUUUCAAUAACCUAGGACUAUCACUGAAUUACAGGCUUCUUUUUUGUUUUCUUCUCUUUGGUCGGGCUGUUGUCUCUUUGAUACAUUCCUCAUUUCAAUAACCUACGACUAUCACUGAAUUACAGGCUUCUUUUUUGUUUUCUUCUCUUUGGUCGGGCUGUUGUCUCUUUGAUACAUUCCUCAUUUCCAUUCUCAAUUUUAUUCUUCCUGUUUUGGGACAGCCACAUAAUGAAUGUGGAGGACUUUAACAUGUCUGUGAAUGCUUAAUCCUCUUAAGAAAAAUAUUAAACAAAUCAAUAUUCAAAGAUCUUCUACAAUUCUAAAUUAAUAACUUUUCAGAAUAAGUCUUUUCUAGAAAUCAAUAAUAUACAAAUAAGUGCUCUCAAUUUGAUUUGGCGAUCGAUUGCUGUUUUGUUCAUAUUUUUAAAAUCAUUCGAAUCAUUGUAGUCAAGUGCGCUGGAGGGAUAUUUUUUUUUAAUAAUUUAAUAAAAAAUACUUGCUAACAGCUUCAUUAAUCAAGACGAGUCGAAAUUAUUAGAGUGGUAUUCUGAUAUAAACAAUAUUUAUUCAGAUAAAAAGAAAU
rnacentral:lncRNA from 1 species